GAUGAACGCUGGCGGCGUGCCUAAUACAUGCAAGUCGAGCGAACGGACGAGAAGCUUGCUUCUCUGAUGGUAGCGGCGGACGGGUGAGUAACACGUGGAUAACCUACCUAUAAGACUGGGAUAACUUCGGGAAACCGGAUCUAAUACCGGAUAAUAUUUUGAACCGCAUGGUUCAAAAGUGAAAGACGGUCUUGCUGUCACUUAUAGAUGGAUCCGCGCUGCAUUAGCUAGUUGGUAAGGUAACGGCUUACCAAGGCGACGAUGCAUAGCUGACCUGAGAGGGUGAUCAGCCACACUGGAACUGAGACACGGUCCAGACUCCUACGGGAGGCAGCAGUAGGGAAUCUUCCGCAAUGGGCGAAAGCCUGACGGAGCCACGCCGCGUGAGUGAUGAAGGUCUUCGGAUCGUAAAGCUCUGUUAUUAGGGAAGAACAUAUGUGUAAGUAACUGUGGACAUCUUGACGGUACCUAAUCAGAAAGCCCCGGCUAACUACGUG
rnacentral:rRNA from 1 species